CUGAUUUUAUCACUUCCGUUGACGAGUCUUGUGUCAGCAUCUUGAUGCGAGGUACAACUUCUAGGUGAUCUUCUUCAUGUUUUACGUUGUUGUACUUUUUGCUGCAAUGUGGACGUACAUAUUCUAGCAGAUAUAUCUUCAUGCUUUACCUUGUUUACCACUGCCCUGAUGUGGAGGUACAGAUUCUAGCUGAUAUAUAUCGUCAUGUUUUACCUUUUACCAACAUCCAAGAUUUUUGUUUCCUCAUUUCUUUCAAUUAGAUAGAAGAUGGGACGUGCUUUGUUGUAGUUUCCUCUUACUUUGACUAAGUAGGACAUUUUUUUGAAAUACCAAAUUGUGGUGUCGCUACCCCUACGCACCACGGUUUUGCAGCACCCUCAGCUAAAGUAAACCAUUCCAAGCCUACCAUACUCGAAACAUGGAAGCAUGCAAACUUCAGAGCAUCUUGGUGUCGCUGGCCACCCGAUCUCUACAACCACCACAAAAUGCUACAGGACCAACCAGGCCGGUGUCCUGACCACUGAAUCAUGUCACUGUGUGGGCGCCUAGAUCUCCCAUGUGUCUGUCUAAAGCCUGAGGGGCCAACCUCGCUCGAGCGUCGCCAGCCAGCACUCAUCUGCACAUGAACAAAUGGUUGGAUAUAUGUGCCUCCUCCGUCUCUUAUUCCCCGAAACAUAAUUUGAUGAGUAGAGUUUCUAAUCAUUUAUGGCACACUGGCAUAUGAUUAAACUGCACAAGUUAGAUUGACAUUUUGUGGAGAACGGUCGUCGGUUGGGAGCCUCGCCGUCUACCUCCACCAGCCGGCCCACACACCAUUGCUCCCCGCGUGUCGCGCCCCUCCCCGAACCAUCAUGCCUUCUAAUUAGUGUACGUGGUAGUCUGGUAAAAGUGGAGAAUAAUUCGGGUAAUGUCUAUGGAUGUACUACCAGUAUUGCGGCUAACCUGCCUGGCAGUGAGAUGCAUCUAGAUUAGAUCUGAUUACUGAUAUAGAAGAUGCAAUUAAUUAUCUAAAAUUUUCCUUGUACCAUUUUCCAUGAGAUUAAUGUAAUUGGGAAUACCAGUGCUUGUUUGAAUCAUUUAGUUAAAUAAUUUUAUAGAUAAAACUUGUAUUUGUAUGUUUUGGAAUUACUAUUAUCCUGGUAAAAUGACCACAAGUGAAAGGGUUGUAAAGAUUAAUUAUUCUUUGUGGAAGCAUUACUGGUCUAAUUAAUAGAUGUACAUGCAUCAAUAAUGUUGUUGAGCUUUAGUUGAUUCUAUAGUGUUGUACUAUUCGCAAAGUUCUAUUUUGAGAAAAAAAUGGCAAAUUCAAUAUUGUGCCAGCUAAAUGGCGCACCCGCUGUAGCAAGUGAGUUCCCAUCAAAAUCACCCUGAGCAUAUUUUUGCUGAUUUUCAUGAUUGCUCUUCUGCCAGGAACAAUGUUCCUGGCACUUCGACCACACAACUGUAUGUUCAUGUUCCAGUGUCCUUAUUCAUAGUUAAUUUCAAUCACAAAGUGACAAAUGUCAGUCUAUUAGUUAACAUGUGUAUCUCCGUUUCUUCUAAGUUUCAAUCGACCUACUCUGAAGUUGUUCCUAAGAUAGUGCCUCAAGCAAAGGGAAUGAGCCUCAGUUAGUGCAUCUAGCAAGUUCGUGAUCCUUUGUUGGGAUAAACAUUUGUGCAAGAGCAAUAGUCUCGUCACUAUUGGUUGUUAGUACUGUUGCUUGUUAAUUCUACUUUUUACUUCAGUUCGUAAUGCAAUAUAGUUAUGCUUGACGCACUAUAAGAAGACUGCCAUUUUGCCUUUUGACCUUGGUUUCUUCCUCCAGUAAGUAAAUGCACAUAGUUCUUUUGUAAAUUAGAGCAUACGACUUGUUGAUCGAUCUCUGAGCUCAGUAAUAAUAUUAAGCCUCAAUCUGUUUAUUGUGCACACAAGAUGAGAAAGAAUUGCUACCCAAGAAUAUGUACUUUAUAAACAUUUCAACUGUAAUCUGGAAAAAAAUUAAAUAAAUAAGGAAACAGUAUAUUCAUAUAUCUUUUUUGUACUUUGAUGGUGUCACACCACAAGUUCCGAGAUGGUAAUUGUGCUGCAUAUGUCUGCUCUCUUACUUUGUUUUUCUGAACAGGUAGGUUCUGGAAGAUGUCAUGAAGAAUUUCUUUCAGAGAAUUUGCGUGAGGAGUGUCUAAAUGAUUUUUAUCUUCUGAACAUAUUCUUGUAUGACUAACUGAAUUCAUUUUUUCAAAACGUCGGUACUUUUCCUUUUUCAUUUAUGUUGCUCGAUUGAGUCCACAUGCCUGCCCUUACUGAGUUUGCUCAAGAGUAAGAUAAACUUGAUAUUUAUGUUUGUCGGCAGCAGCGUGACUAGCUGAUCUGUAGCGGCGCGGAAGGUGAGCUUGGCUGCAGGUAGCAGCUCCUUUGGCUGAUCUGCGGCGAUGCAGAAGUUGGGUUGGAAAGAAGCACGACCGGCUGCUCUGAAGUGGGACGUAGGGAGAGCUUCGUAAGAGAUAGGGAGGGAGCUCUAUUGGCCCGUGCAUGACAUCCAACCCAAUGGCAUCAUGCCCUGGUAAGCUUCUUAUCUGUUCCAAUUCUUGCACUUGGUCUUUUUCUUUCUAACCCUAAAAAUAGAGUGUGCCUUGAUUCCUAAUCAUGCUUUAAAAGCUGAUAUCCACCUCGUUUAUCUUGCUACUAGUGGUAAUGUGUGCAAGUAUGAUUUUGUGAUAAUGCCAGAUGUUGUGUGCCUUCUUUAUUCAUGGUACGAGUACUCUAACCUGGCUCGUAUGAUAAUGUAUCACUGCUAUAGAGCACAAACGACGUGUUUUUUAAUUAUAUUUUAGUUGACAUGGAUUUCAUUUAUCUUGUGAAUUGUAUAGUCAGAUCAUGAAUUUUUAUGAUUGAUUGAUUUUCAUGGUCACAGGUAGGCAUGGUUGUGUGGCCACGGGGAAAAUGGAGCAAGUAGCAUGUGAGGAGUUUAACAAAUGGGGACAAGGGACAGUUUAGUUAAUUAAGGCUCUAUGUUAGUUUCAAGUUUUAUCCUUGUUGCGGUAAAAAAUUAUGGUUGGAUUAACCACCAUGUACAUCUUUAAUUACUUUUAAAUAAGAAAUAUAAUCAAAAUAUUCUUUUGAAUUGAUAAAAUUUAUAUAAUUUGUACAAGUACAUGAAGGUGGAACAGGAGGAAGGGUGGGAGAAGAUUAGAUAUCGUUUCAUUUUCUUGCAAGGAAAGGAUGGUUACGAAGAAAUGACAAGAAAUGGAGGGACAAUCAGUUUUAUUACUGUAUGGAUGGAAACCACAUGCCAGCUUGUCCAACAUAUUUCUACAUUGAGUCAAUUAUUCAAUCGCUAUAUUUUUUUUAUUCCAUGGCAAUGCAUGGUCAUUCAACUAUUCAAAUUUACGG
rnacentral:lncRNA from 1 species